UUGAACGCUGGCGGCAGGCCUCACACAUGCCAGUCGAACGGUAACAGGAAGCAGCUUGCUGCUUCGCUGACGAGUGGCGGACGGGUGAGUAAUGUCUGGGAAGCUGCCUGAUGGAGGGGGAUAACUACUGGAAACGGUAGCUAAUACCGCAUAAUGUCGCAAGACCAGAGAGGGGGACCUUCGGGCCUCUUGCCAUCGGAUGUGCCCAGAUGGGAUUAGCUUGUUGGUGGGGUAACGGCUCACCAAGGCGACGAUCCCUAGCUGGUCUGAGAGGAUGACCAGCCACACUGGAACUGAGACACGGUCCAGACUCCUACGGGAGGCAGCAGUGGGGAAUAUUGCACAAUGGGCGCAAGCCUGAUGCAGCCAUGCCGCGUGUAUGAAGAAGGCCUUCGGGUUGUAAAGUACUUUCAGCGGGGAGGAAGGGAGUAAAGUUAAUACCUUUGCUCAUUGACGUUACCCGCAGAAGAAGCACCGGCUAACUCCGUG
rnacentral:rRNA from 1 species